rnacentral:rRNA from 1 species
UAGGGAAUCUUCCGCAAUGGACGAAAGUCUGACGGAGCAAUGCCGCGUGAGUGAGGAAGGCCUUCGGGUCGUAAAGCUCUGUUGUGAGGGAAGAACAAGUAUCGGUUGAAUAAGCCGGUACCUUGACGGUACCUCACCAGAAAGCCACGGCUAACUACGUGCCAGCAGCCGCGGUAAUACGUAGGUGGCAAGCGUUGUCCGGAAUUAUUGGGCGUAAAGCGCGCGCAGGCGGCUUCUUAAGUCUGAUGUGAAAUCUCGGGGCUCAACCCCGAGCGGCCAUUGGAAACUGGGGAGCUUGAGUGCAGAAGAGGAGAGUGGAAUUCCACGUGUAGCGGUGAAAUGCGUAGAUAUGUGGAGGAACACCAGUGGCGAAGGCGACUCUCUGGUCUGUAACUGACGCUGAGGCGCGAAAGCGUGGGGAGCAAACAGGAUUAGAUACCCCCGUAGUCC